rnacentral:lncRNA from 1 species
AAAUUGUGAAUUAGUGAGAUUGAACUCACCCAUGGUAUGAAGAACAAUAUGGCACAUAUUUCUUAUAUUAUGCGUUAUUUCAUUUAGAGCAAAUUAGAAUUAUUCACGUUAUACUGAGCGCGACAUUAAUCUAACACUUUACUCACAAAGAUUGGCAGUUGAGUUCAUCAUGGCUUGAAAUUAAAGAAGCUUGCACUAAAAUUGGGCUCUUCAAGUUUCAACAAUUCAAAACAAAAGAAAGGUUGGUUUGUCUAACAUUUUUUUUUUUUUGGUAAGAAUGUUUGGUUGAUCACCUCUUUAAUUCUGUCACCUGCUGCAGCCAGUGAUCCAAACAAAGAUGCACACAAAUCUAUUGGUCAAAAAUUGACUCUAAAUCUAAUAAAUAAAAUCUUUUCAUUUCCUCAACUUAAUUAUCGACCAAUAUGUAACCUACAUCUGCUCUUAAACUUUCACGAAACUCACAAAUUUUGCUCGGCGUCACAGAAAUUUCUUCUCAUUUCAAGUGCAUAUAACACAGUGAGUUGUCUUGACGACCCCUUUUUUAUAUUGUUUCAUCAUCAUAUGGCCGCUGCAUUUCGUGAAAAAGAGGCUUCAAGUGUAUGAAUGAGAUGGUUCUUUAUUUUGCAUGCAACUCUUUUAAGGUAUGUUAAUUGAUUCUUGUUGUUUAAUUCAUUCUUUUUGUUCCUGUUUUACUUAUAAUAAUCAUCAUCAUAACUAUAUUGUUAGUUCAUUCUUUUCUUUGUUGUGGGUAAAAUCUUUGACUUAUAUGCUCCAAACUUCUUAAUGUUAAUUAAAUUCUGCAGCAUUUUUGUUUUCCGAAACGUGUUUCUCUAUUUUCUCGCAUAAAACUUACAGAAAGCAAGAGUGGCUCUUCUGCAUACACCUGUUGUCAUUGCCAUCAGUACUGUUUUUUUUUUUUUUUUCCUUCUCUUUUCUUUUAACUUUUUGUUCUUGUUUUUGUUAUAAUAAGUAAGUUUAAUGGCUGUUAUUUUAUAUAUUUUUAAUGGUUGUUAUUUUAUAUAUUUAGUUUAUUAAGAACCAACUUUGUUCCAUGUUAAUAAUGCAUCAACUAGAGUAAGAGUACCAAUAGACAUGGUUAUUUCUAAAUAAUAGUGACAUUUUGCUAAUAUAUGUAAAGUUUUGUUAUAAUGUUCACUAAAUUUUGAGGUUUCAUAAAACAUAUAUCUUGAGGUAGUGGUUACAGUGGAGCUGCUUCAUUGUGGAACAUUAAUGAUGACCGUCAGAUCAUAAUAGUAAGUGCAUAAUUUAUAUGUAUCUUUGUGAUCAUACGAUCAUCAUCAAUGCUCUACUGUGAAGCAGUUCGUAUCUUGAAAAUUUAUAUUCAAAUUUAAUUUAGAGCUAAUUACAUGAUUUAAAGCGAAAAUGUAGCCCCACUUAGACUUCUUACCUUUUAUUAAAAAAGGAGAAAGAAGAAGACAUUUCAUUCACACAAAAAGAACAAAAUGGAAAAUGAAGUACCAUUAUUAUUUUUUUAUACGUAGAAGUAAUUUGUGUGUGUGUGUGUAUUAAAUGCGUUUUUGGUGCUAUAAUUGGUACUUGAAAAUUGAAAGCAUGUAAAAUUGGUCUAAAGGACCACUCUAAAUGCACACAACACACGCAAACAAAAUGAACUAUAAAAUAUUUUAAUAUUCUAACAUAUGUACAAAAAAUGCAAAAAUAAUAAUACAUUAUACAAUUGUAAAUAUAAUAACUUCUCUAUUUAUUUAUUUAAUAGUAUCAUAAACCAUUGGUCGACAAGAUAAAUAAAUAAAGAAAAAAAAAUCGAGGGUACAAACUUAUAUAUAAUAAAUGUUACUAAUUUGGGGCAGAAAAUAUUAAGGAUUAUGUAGAAAUUAGCAUUAGAAACCUCAAAAAAUAGAAAGGGAAAAAAACUAAUAUAUUUGCAAAUAAAUAUAUGAUAAAAAAUUUAUUUAAGAUUCUUAAAAUUUGAAGCACGUGAGCAUGGAACAAAGCAAGGAAUUUUCUGUCAAACAAAGUACGGCCAGACUUACCAAAUUAGUGUGCGACAAGUCAAGUAGUCAACCAUCUACCAAUCGCAGGCUGUUUUUGAGUAGACUGGUAGCUUCAGUUGACCGUUAGAUAUGAUUAAAAUCAUCAGUCAAACAUCAUCUCCACCGUCCAUCACCGCCUUCAUA